rnacentral:tRNA from 1 species
CGGAGUAUAGCGCAGUUGGGAGCGCGUCUCGUUCGGGGCGAGAAGGUCGUCAGUUCAACUCUGACUACUCCGA